AUGUCGGAUAUUGCACCUGUGCAGCCAUUGGCUUUGGGUCUCCUCCAGCCGGAGCCCGGCUUCCGCUUCCACCCUACCGGCCAGGAGCUCGUGACCUACGACCUCCUCCGCAAGGUCCACGGCCACCACGCCUUCAUCCCCGAGGUCCAUGUGUACAAGCACGAGCCCUGGGAGCUGCCAGGCACGUCACCUACAUGUCCCUACCUGCAGAGACGGCCCGGGCCAAUAAUAUCUAGUAUUGACUUGAUUUUCAUCAAUCAUGCAUGUGCAGACAAGUCCUUCUCGCCCAGCACACACGACGCCGGGGCCAAGGUGGAAUGGUACUUUUUCGCGGUCAGGGCCCGAAAGUACCCCAACGGGCUUCGCAUGGGGCGGGCAACGGUCGCCGGGUUCUGGAAGUCCACCGGGAAGGAUCGCCCCGUCAUGCACAACGGCGUCAUCGUCGGCAUGAAGAAGACGCUUGUGUUCCACACCGGCCGUGCGCCUGGCGGCACACGCACCGACUGGGUCAUGCAUGAGUAUCGUCUUCAGGGCCAACGCAACCACCACAUUCAGGACGCCUAUGCAUUGUGUCGAGUCUUCAAAAAGAACACCGUGGCUCCGUUGAUCGAUUUAUCCAGUGAUGCCGACACAUAUGAGGAUCCAAUGCAGUCUGUGCCCGGCGGCGUCGACACGGACAAGGAUUUGAUGGAGCACGUGUCUGACGGGGCCGAUUCACACAAGGAUCCCAAGCAUUAUGUGCUUGGUGGCAUAGAAUCAGACAAGUAUCUGAUACAGUCUGUGCUCCGUGGCAUCGGCACGCACAACGAUCCCAUACUGGUCGAGUCUGAUGUUGCCUACGCGGGCAAGGAGCAGAUGGAGUCCGUGCUCUGUGGCGUUGGCACAGACAAGGAUCACAUACAUGUCGAGUCCGAGUUCAAUAGUGUUCAUGCGGGGAAGGGAAAGAAGCCGUUCCUCGCCGACCGUGGUAGCACGAGCACAGGAAAUAUGGAGUUUCUCGCCGGUGGUGCCAACAAAGACAACGAAGGGAUGCAGCCUGUGUACGCCGGCGCCAGCGCGGAUGAGGAGAACUCUGUCAACGCUUGGUACACCGCAGCCCUUGCGGAAGAGGAUAAUUCAUGGAUGCAGCCCCCUUCAUAUGACGACUGGUACACUAGAGUCGACCUGGACAAGGAUGAUUCCUUGAUGCAGUUCAUCUUCGGUGAUGUUAUGCUCUUGAGCACCGACUGA
rnacentral:rRNA from 1 species